GCGGAUAUGAUGAAACGGUAGACAUACUAGAUUUAGGUUCUAGUGCCUUUGGCGUGGGGGUUCAAAUCCCUCUAUCCGUA
rnacentral:tRNA from 1 species